GGCCACAUCACAUUGAAACACUAGUUCACAUACGACCACCAAAGUUAAGCAACAUCAAGCCUGGUCAAUACUUUUAUGGAUGAUCACUUGGGAAUACAAGGUGCUGUAU